AUUUUGUAACAAAAGAAGCAGCAUAUCCUGAUUUAUUUCAACAUGUUUUCUUUCCCAAAGGAUCGUGAACAUCUUGGGGACAGUUUCCAUAUUAUCUUUUGUGCCUCGCUGUGUUGCCAUAUAUCCCUGGAACACAUUUCGGGUGUGUUUUUAUUAGCAGCAUGAAAAUGAGCUAAUACACUGGACCAGGAACAACUUGAAGACAGACACUGUAUUUUGGAUCCCUACCAACCUCACACAUGACACACAGUAGAAGGUAAAGGAACAUUUGUUAAACUGAAUAAGGAAUCUGGCAUUCUUUAGAACUUUGAAAAGUAUAGAGUAUGUUCUCAUCCUUCCUACUGGAUUUUUCUCAACGAUAAUAUGGAUCAGGAGAAUGUUUCAUGUAAAACUAUUUCCAAGCUGUAAAGCAGAGAAGAGGAACCAUCCCUUUGCUGUUCUCAAAUGUUUCUCAUAGAAAACUAAAGCUAAAUAAAAGUUUGAAUAUUGUCAGUAUGAAUCUUUCUUUGGGGAGAAGAAGGAACUAAAGAAGAAACAAUUUAAUUUUUUUUAUUCAGGAAGAUAAAGCUAGUUAAUCACACUCAUAUAUAUUAUCCUAAUAAACUCCAAAUGUAGAUGUUUUUACUGAUAACAGACAGCAGAAUUUAUCAAGUUUGAAUGUCAUUCAAGUCCCAGGUUGUCCUUCAAAAAAUAUGGUAGGAAUGAAAGACUGUGUUCUUUUAAUUAAUAAAUCUGCAGUUUCUAAUGAUUUUUAUGAUAUUGUGGAGAUGGUAUGUAUACAAUAAGUUACUUGUAUUCAUCAAUAUAAGUAAAAUAAUGUAUGUGGGAACAUAAAUGGAUUAUUUCCUUACAUAACCAUGUAUUUUUAGGUUUGUUUUCUUCUAUCCAGGGACUGUGCUCUCUAAAUUUUCAAAAAUAACUGAAAGAGUUCAGAUCCCUUUGGGAUUACAGAAAUUCAGAAAAUUUUCUUAGACCAAAUAAGAAUGAAGCAUGUCUUGAUUUCAGCCUAAUUUAGAAAGGGAACAUCACAGAAAAAAAUAUAAGCUUCAGGCUAUCAAUAUCUUGUUAAUUUCUCAUCCCAGUAUACUUCUCCAUCUAAACUACAUUUCAUUCAAAAUGUUUCAGAUAUAUUGGCUUCUGAUUCAUGUCUUUGGGUUCUUUUCUCUCACUUUGAAAUCUCCAGGGACAGACCCAAUUAUUUCCAUUUCCAUGAUUAUUGUGUGCUAUUUAGAGUAAACAGAAUCAGUACAGAAUCAGUAACACACACACAGACACACAUAUAAAAUAGGAAUAGGCUCACAUAAUUAUGGAGGCCAAGGACUCCCAUGAUCUGUCUGACAGCUGGAGAAACAGGAAAUUUAGUCUGAGUCUGAAGUCUUGAGAACCAGGACUGCCAGUGUUUGAGGGUAGGAGAAGGUGGAUAUCCCAGCUCAAACAGAGAGCAAAUUUGUACUUCCUUUGCCUUUUUGUUCUGUUAAGGCCUUCAAUAGAUUGGGGGAUGCCCACUCACAUUGGUAAGGGUGAUCUCCUU
rnacentral:lncRNA from 1 species